GCCUUAUCUUCUCUUUGGGCACGUGCAGUCAUUGUCAAGUAACUGUCACUGCCGCUUUUUAAAAGACCUGAAAUGCAAAUCUCAGUGGAAGGCUCUAGAAAUAUAAGCUGAGUUGAGGCUACGGAAAAAGGCAGUUGGGAGACAAGGCCUCAAAAAUAAUCAUGACUAUCUCCCUGUGAAAACAUGACCCGCUUUAUCUCUUGAACAUUUUCAUGCCUUUUGAGUGAGAUUUUUUUUUUCUGCUCUUCUUGCUUUUUCUGAAACAAAAACCUGCCUCUCGUUUCCUGACCGUCUCCACUUUGCUCUCUUCAAGACUGAGUGACUUUAGGUGUGUCUAAUGCGACUGGAUUUAUUUGAGAAGCUCAAGCACUGAUUUGUUUAUUCCAUUUACUUCGACAGCAUGCCCAUUACCCCGGGAUUCUGAGCACAUAUAAAUGAUCUGCUCGGGGUUGGCAAACAAGAGCUGGUGAUGGAUGGAGAGCGAGCAGACAGUCUAAAAGCAUUCGUCAAAAGGGCUCUUCCGUCCCAGAAAUGCUUGGUUAAGCAGGUUUUCCUUUCAACUUCCUUACUGAUGGUUGUCACUGCGAUCCAUCCUGCCAAGUGGUGUGUUCUCGGCUCCCAACCUUCAGUGUGAAGACGGACGGGACCACCGUCUGCCUCACAGGGGUCGCCUGGGCUCUUUCUCUGCCUCUCGUAGCCCUGGAUCGCUCUGUCGCUGCUUAGUAAAGAGUCAGUGUCUACUGCUGCUGCUGCUAAGUCGCUCCAGUCGUGUCCGACUCUGUGUGACCCCAUAGAUGGCAGCCCACCAGGCUCCUCCGUCCCUGGGAUUCUCCAGGCAAGAACACUGGAGUGGGUUGCCAUUUCCUUCUCCAAUGCAUGAAAGUGAAAAGUGAAAGUGAAGUCGCUCAGUCCUGUCCGACUAACAAGGACUUAUUCAAGGAAAUUAUUUAGAUUAUUUAAAAAUUAUUUGGAAUAUAUAUAUAUAUAUAUAUAUAUAUAUAUAUAUAUAUAUAAAACGUGCAUAGUGUAUAUGACCAGCCCUAGUCAAUUUUCAAGAAAAUGAAGUUACUAAAAGUCUUCAGAACAAAUGGGUGUGCAACGUUCAUGUAUGCUUGUGUAUAACACCGGAUAUUACCACACACACAAAUUAUUACUGUGGUUUUUCAGAUGAGGAUUCUAAAGAAUAGAAAGGUCAGAUAACAUUCCCGGAGCCAUACAAGUAGUUAAUGGUGGUGCGUGCACGCUAAGUUACUUCAGUCAUGUCUGACUCUUGCGACCCUGUGGACUGUAGCCCGCCAGGCCCCUCUGUGCAUGGGAUUCUCCACGUAAGAAUGCUGCAGUGGGUUGCCAUGCCCUCCUCCAGGGGAUCUUCCCG
rnacentral:lncRNA from 1 species